GUUUUGACUGUUUUUCUUAAAAUGUAUAGAUCAUUCCUUAUAUUUUCUCCACCCACUUUGUUGUUCUGCAUGAGAUUCUCUCUCUCACUCCUCAAAUGCAGUUCAAGGAAGGCCAGAAGUUCUGAGUGGGUUUUUGGCAAAGCGUUUUUGGGGGAGCUGUUACUCUGUUAAGUUUGCUCUAUACAAUGAAAAUUAAUAAUGAAAUUGCUUACACCGAUGACACAGGAAUCCAUUAUCCACACUCAUUACCAAAUACCUAGGUUGUAUCUACUCAGAGGUCCCAUUCUUCUGCUAUGAGGUCAGCAUUGACAUUCAGCAAACCUGAGACCAACACGGCUACCAAGUACACCCCUGAAACAUGGAAGAUGCCGAAUUUUAGCCGAUUUUGGAUUUUAAACUUCAUUGCAGAACAACAAGGAAGUUGUUUUUUUGCCUCCCUGCCUGCCAUCUGACACCUCCAGGGAAAGAAUUCUACCUGAUCAACACAUCAAAGAGCUGAUCAACACAGCUCACAAAGACACUCAUGGACCUAGAGGGACAGAUUUCCAUCUUCAGCUCCCUCUGUGCAAAAAUGAAGCUUAUUUCCUACCUAUGGGGACUUUUUACCAUCUUGUAGCAUUUACACUUUUCCCAGAGCCUGACAAAGGGACUUUGAUCCUGAAAGCUUGCAGAAAAGGACAA